rnacentral:lncRNA from 13 species
CUCAUGGAGAGAUCACAGUCACUGUGGUCUGAAGAAAACAUGUUGCCACACAGAAAGAACACAUGUCAGUUUUCUGGUAGUAAUGCCAGAUGAUAAACAGCUUCAAGUACCAGACUUAGAAACUGUAGCUCCAACUGAACCUCAUCUUGCAUUAAAUGUUGUGCACACGUGAGGAGAAUCACAUGGUUAGCACCAGGCUUUGCUUUGAUGGAGAUGUGUUGCUUUUUCAAGCUUUGAUGGUCAUUCCUAAUCUUCAGCUGCAAGAUACCGAGGAUCUGGGGGUACAGAAGUGGGUUAUUUGUGAUCACUGAGAAGUUUGAAAAAAAGGAGAUUAAUCACACAACUCCACUGCAGUAGAAUUGAAAAGUGUCUGUGGGUGGGCACAAUGAAUGACAGGUUUAUACUAUGAGGAACAGAAUGAAUCCAGGAGACAGAGACACUGCAUUGCCUUCCUUGAAUCAUCCAUCUACGGUGCCAUGUUACUCAGAAAUUAAUGUAAUUCCAUAAAUGAAUAAUGACGUAAAUGUCCUCUUAAUAAUUGUUAAUGCACAAGCAUAUUCUUAUUCUAAUAAUCAGAAAAAUUGAUGUGACUAU